AAAAGAUUUUUUUUUUGUUUUGUUAAUAUGUCAUUCACGUAGCAUAUUAAUAUAAACAAUGUUCUGUUUUCAGUAUUUUACAGGCCAGCCAGGGAAGUAACUGAAUACACUUCCUUGGAGAAAGAAUAGAAGGCUCAGAAGAUGUCCAAAUCUGGUGCACCCCUGCUGCAUCAGGCAUAUUGUUCUAGGCUGCUGUGCAAAUGUGGCUGCCAGGGGCUUCUGGAGACCAUGACUAAUGAUGGAUUUGUGAAGCUUCUAUGUAGAUCCCAUGUCUUCUUGGCUGCCCAUAAGACAUGUGCACUCUUAGAGCAAAGAUAAUGAUUGCAAGCAACUUUUCUUGAGAGAAGGGGAGAGAGAGAGUGAAAUCAGGGCUCCUGUCAAAUAUUCCUGCUUCUCAGACUUUCCCAGUGACUACUAAAUGCUACAGUGACUUCCAGUGACUACUGCAUGCUGAAAUAUGGGCAAGUAGAUCUGUAUUCUGUGUUAAAAGGAACUGUUUGAAUGUCAAGGUCAUGAGAAAUUAUCU
rnacentral:lncRNA from 1 species